UCUUCCUUCGACCUCGAAAGU
rnacentral:piRNA from 1 species